UACGGAGGGUGCGAGCGUUGUCCGGAAUCAUUGGGCGUAAAGGGCGCGUAGGUGGCCCGGUCAGUCUUUGGUGAAAGCGCGGGGCUCAACCCUGCGUCGGCCAGGGAUACUGCCGCGGCUCGAGCACUGUAGAGGCAGGCGGAAUUCCGGGUGGUAGCGGUGGAAUGCGUAGAGAUCCGGAAGAACACCGGUGGCGAAGGCGGCCUGCUGGGCAGUUAGCUGACACUGAGGCGCGACAGCGUGGGGAGCAAACAGG
rnacentral:rRNA from 1 species